rnacentral:rRNA from 1 species
GAUGAACGCUGGCGGCGUGCCUAAUACAUGCAAGUCGAGCGAACAGACGAGGAGCUUGCUCCUCUGACGUUAGCGGCGGACGGGUGAGUAACACGUGGAUAACCUACCUAUAAGACUGGGAUAACUUCGGGAAACCGGAGCUAAUACCGGAUAAUAUAUUGAACCGCAUGGUUCAAUAGUGAAAGACGGUUUUGCUGUCACUUAUAGAUGGAUCCGCGCCGCAUUAGCUAGUUGGUAAGGUAACGGCUUACCAAGGCAACGAUGCGUAGCCGACCUGAGAGGGCGGGGGGCCACAAGGCCAGUUGUACCCGAAAGGGCCGCAUCCGGGACGACGCAGGAGGGAAUAGUUCACAUGGGGCGACAGCUUGAAAGAUUAAUGCCGGCUGAAUGAUGAAUGUGUAAGGAUCCUAAGCCUCUGUUAACGGCAAAGAACAAAAACGCAAGGAACAACGCACGGCCCGAAGCCGCGUUAGCAGAAAGCCACGCCUCACUCCAUC